UUUUCCUUGAUGAAUUUCAGUCAGUAGUUGGUCUGGCUCUCCUAGCGCCUUUCCUGGAGGCUGCUCUCAGGUCCUUCCCACAUAAUGCAUGCCUCUUUUGCACUGAGUCUUUCUAAUGCUUCGAGUCUCUCUGAUUUCCUCCUCUACUAGUCAGAGAAAAUUCUCUGCUUUUAAAAGACCCAUAUGAAUAGUAAAUCCAGGUGGCUGCCUGUGGAUAUCUCAUCUCAUGCUGUGACUCCAGCCAUGCCUUGCCCCUCACCAGCUCUGACACCAGCAGAAGGAGGAGAUAUGGCAUAAGCCUGGACAACAGAUGCUUCUCUAAGAUGUGGACUCUUGAAUGAGAAACACAAGGAUAGAAGGAAUGGUUGAAACAUACUUUAAAUGGAUGAGUGGUAUGCUCUUGAAUUAUAUCUCAAUAAAGCUGUUUUUUUUAAAAAA
rnacentral:antisense_RNA from 1 species